rnacentral:rRNA from 1 species
AGCGAACGCUGGCGGCAGGCCUAACACAUGCAAGUCGAGCGCUCGUAGCAAUACGAGAGCGGCAGACGGGAGAGUAACACGUGGGAACGUACCCUUUGGUUCGGAACAACACAGGGAAACUUGUGCUAAUACCGGAUAAGCCCUUACGGGGAAAGAUUUAUCGCCGAAAGAUUGGCCCGCGUCUGAUUAGCUAGUUGGUGAGGUAACGGCUCACCAAGGCGACGAUCAGUAGCNGGUCUGAGAGGAUGAUCAGCCACAUUGGGACUGAGACACGGCCCAAACUCCUACGGGAGGCAGCAGGUGGGGAAUAUUGGACAAUGGGCGCAAGCCUGAUCCAGCCAUGCCGCGUGAGUGAUGAAGGCCCUAGGGUUGUAAAGCUCUUUUGUGCGGGAAGAUAAUGACGGUACCGCAAGAAUAACGCCCC